UUUGUUUCCGGUGAGCACUUAAUAUGUGCAAGGUAACAUGUUAGAUGAUAGGAAGCAUUCACAGGAAGAAAAAAAAAAAUCCUAAAAUGUGCUGGAGGCGCCAACCCUGGUUCACCAGCAUCUGCUGUCAGAGGCAGGAGGGUUCAGCGCGGACGGGAAGAUGCCUGGAGCACGGAGCGGGCCUCCUGAGGAGGCUGUGGGGCCGCCUCCAGGGCCUCAGCUGUACGGGAAGUUCAGUGACCGCCCCAUCGCAUCCCAGCAAGUUCGUUCACCGCCUGCUCUGCGCCUGCGGCUUCUCCUGCAACCAGGGGCCGCGCGGUCCCCGCGCACGGUCGUGGGCGAGGACCCACAUUUCCCGGCGCUCAUUACAUCCGCGUGCCAGAACGAACCUGGGUCCCCGACCCGGGUGAACCCCACAGUGCGCGGCAGGGAUGGGAGGAAGGGGCGAGGGACACUCGGACAACUAGGCGUCCGAGGGCCGGGGACAGUGGAAAGCACAGCGCGGAGUGAGCUACCACCCUUCCAACCUAGCCGAGCCCCGGCCCCGCGUGUCCUCUACUCCCGCGUCCGGGUGGGGCCGCCCGCCACCCCUCAGCCGUCGCUCCCCGAUCUGCGCCCGGCCCCCUUCGCUGUCCCAGUGCCUCCUGGCUCGCGUCCCCCGCCCCCUCCACCAGGGAUCGCAAGCCGCCGGGCCCCCAGUGCCUGUUCCGGGCGCCCCUCCACUUGUGCCCGCGCCCUUCCCAGGCCUCUGUGCCCGUCCCGGGCGCCCCUGUUCCCUUCCCGGCCUCCUCCACCUGUUCUAGAGCCCCAACCGCGCGCCCAGCCCCCUUGGGCUUGUUCCAGGAGUCCCCGCCCCGCCGGCUUCGGCGUUGCCAUCGAUGUGCUCGGCGCUCUCCUGAGCCUGCCCCCCGGGAGUGGGCGGGCCCGUUUGCCUCAGGUGGUCUAACAGGCGCGGGGGAGGGCCAAUGGCGUCGCUGCACAGCUCCGCCCCUUCCUUCCGAUUGGUCGGCGCCGGAAGGCCGCGGCCAGGGUCUGGGGGCCCGUGCGGGAGCGCGACUCCACCUCAGUAGACGGGCCGCGCGCUCUGAGCUCAUCGGCUUCGUCCACUUCUACCCGGU
rnacentral:lncRNA from 1 species